AAGGCAUAUUUGAAUUGUCAGAAUGGACAAAACCAACAAGCAGCUCCAUGCUUACAUUUAGAAUAAACACCAAUGAUUGUCCAUAAAGUUGGAUGAAAUCUCCAUGAUGACCAUUGCCAUCUCAGGAGUUCAUGAUCUCUCCAAACCCACCCGUCACUCAAAAUGGCCACAACAUUACCUACUUAAGUCUUAAUUAAAUUCAAACAGGUGGGUUGUAUAAAAAUCUGCUCCUCAUACAGCUGUCAUGAAGGGGAUAUUAGCUACACAGACCAAAGCUGGUUUUGUUUCAGGCUGUAAACGUGUUUAUUUCUGUUUUAAGGUGGAGCUCUAUUGGAAUUGAUCACUAUUGGAGGCAACCUCUAGUGGCCAUUCAAAGAACUGCACUUUCUGGCAUGGCAGGUACUGGCCUCAGUUUUCUUCAUCCCAGAGGCGGCUGCUUGGUCCCUCUCUGUCUCCCCACACAUCCACCAACCACUGGAACACAUCUCCAAAGUUCUGCUGGACCAGCUCAGCUUCCCCUCAGAAGAAGUGGUGCCACCUGCCAGAUGAAGGAGCCUUUUGAGAGGCAGCUGGCAUCGUGAUUGGACUGUACUUUGGUCUGUUCCAAUCCAGCUUCAGCUCCAGAGACGGCAGGCGGGACGAGUCAACGGAGGCCUGGUGGACGAAGACAUGAAGCUGAGUACAAUCCAGAAAACAACAGAGGAGGAGUGCAGCGGCCCAGGACCAGAACAAACACAUUGCUGUAAAAAGUCAGUCCAUCCUGGCCGACUUCACCACCUCUUCAUGACAACUUGUUCUGCCUCCGACCUGGUGGAAACUCCAGAAACUCAGGAAAACCUGUCGAGACUCAGAUUUUCGAAAAACUCGUCGGGCGGGGGAAGGUGUGGUGGGUGGUGGGGGGAGGUGGGGGAGUAGAGGGGGGAGGCCGCCACCCACCUCCCCGCCUACUCUCCGCCCUGACUCCACCCAGACUCCGCCUUGGCUCCGCCCAUGUGGUCACUUCAGGAACUACGAUGUCAAAGGGACGACGAAUUUAUUUCUUUUUAUCUGAUCUGUAGCUCAGUGAGUUAAGGAUUUGCCUAUGGAGCUGCAGGUCGCUGGUUCAAGACCAGACACUUCUUAAAUUUUCUCAAUAUCCUGACAAAGACAAAGAAAGAAAACUGCCACUGGUGGGUCUUGAACCUGCGACCCUCCGCUCUGUAGUCUCUCCUCUUAUCCCCCUGAGCUAUUCGCUCAGAUACUAAUUCUUCUUUUUUUUGCGCAUUUAUCAUCUAUUUUUUGCCAUUUUCGAGUUUUUUUUUAACUUGAGUCUCGACUCGACCGUUUUUCUCAGGAGGCUGGACUUCAGCCUUUGUGCUGGAGGGUGGAACCCUCAGUUCCAAGACUUUCCAAAGCCUCCACACCUCCCGAGUCCUCAGGACCUGAGCUUUCACACAGUCUGAGGGCUGAAAUUUUCGAAGUCCCACAGUAGAUCUCUGUUAGUUUGAACCUUCAGACAGUCUGAGGGCUGAAAUUUUCUAAGUUCCUGAGUAGUUCUCUGUUAGUUUGAACCUUCAGACAGUCUGAGGGCUGAAAUUUUCUAAGUUCCUGAGUAGUUCUCUGUUAGUUUGAACCUUCAGACACUCUGAGGACUGAAAUCUUAAAAGUUUCUCACUACUUCUCUGUUAGUUUGAACCUUUUGACAGUCUGAGGACUGAAAUCCUAGAAGUUCUUGAGCAGUUCUCUGUUAGUUUGAACCUUUAGACAGUCUGAGGACUGAAAUCCUAGAAGUUCUUGAGCAGUUCUCUGUGAGUUUGAACCUUUAGACAGUCUGAGGACUGAAGUUUUAAAAGUUUCUCAGUACUUCUCUGUCAGUUUGAACUUUCUGGUUAACAGAAGCCUUAAAAAUUGUGACCAUGAGUCUUGAUUUCACAUUUAGACCAUCCAUCUGAGUUCUUCUCAGACCUUCACCUGUGGGUUUUUUAGAAAUCCUGAACAAACUUUGAUUCUCUUCACUGAACAGUAAAUUUUGUGGAGAUCAGAAGGUAACAUUAGUUUGAUCGAUGCCUUCAACUACUAGUAGACUUUAUCUGGAAAGCAGUUUUCUGAAAUGAGUUCUUAGUAAAUCUGUCCACAAUCAAACCAAGAUCAUAGAAAGAGGAAAUGUUUGAAGAAACAACUUGCUGUUUUCAUUUUAGACUAGAAAACACUUUAAGGCCUUUAUGUUUUUUCUCUUUUUCGUCGUUUUAUUGUCUCUUCUGUUUAAUUUGAUCUUUGAAAGUUUAACUGGUGUCUUUUCAAAUGUUUUGUCUUUAGUUUGAUUCUUCUUAAAUGUUUAGUUUUACUCUUUGCUCACCUUUUAUUUUUUUCUGUCUGAUUUGAUUUUGAAAUGUUUUGUCUUUUUAAUGUUUAAUUGUUGUUUUUUCAAAUGGUUUAUCGGCUUGUUUGAAAAAAUUCCUUUUCU